GUCCUGAUAGUAUAGAACCAUUACUCUGGUCUUGUAAACCAAAAACGAAGAACUUCUCUUCUCAGGGCA
rnacentral:tRNA from 1 species